rnacentral:lncRNA from 1 species
CCCCUCUGCCUCCCAUGUGUAAUGUGAUUAAAAUUUUAAAUAUGAAGAAUCAUUUGAACAAUGAAUGUAACAAUGUGCAUCCUCUUAUAAUUUCUCAGGCUGCCCUAGUUGCAAAUUAUCCAUGGGAUGGAAUGGAGGACAAAAGGUGAUCAUCUAACAUUCCGAUUCAUAUGGUGAAUUCGUGGGCCACUUAUCUUGAUAAUUUGCUUGAUUUCCCAUCCUGCGUGCAAAGCCUAUUGUCACUUUGAUCUAUGAUGUCCUGCAUGUUAUUUGCUAGAUGUACUAGGCAUUACUUUUUCAUUGAUCGGUUGUUCUUUCUCUAUGUUCGUGAAUUAAAUCUCCAGCUAAUAUGCAUAUCAAAGGUCUGCUUUGAUCUCUAGUUUGCAGCGUGUCCCAAACCUUUUAUGUAUUACUCCUAUGUUAAGUUAAGUGAUCCUUUCAUAGUGACGAAAAAGUUGAAAUCAUUUAGUUUUAGAG